CGCAGCUGCCCCAGCGAGCCGCGCUAUGAGCGCGCGGGUCGCUGGGUCAGCGCGCGCGUCAGUCGCGACUCGGAUUGCCAUUAACACUGUUUUUAUGGGCAUAAUUAACCAGAUUUGAUCACGGAAAUAUGCUGCGAGCCUUCUCCAUCACCCGCUGAAUGCCUCUGAGCCUUCUUGGCCGUCGUCCUAAAUCAUCAAUGCUACUGUUCGAAGACUGGUUUCCUAAACGCGAAAUUGGAUAAAAGCCGAAGACCGUGGAUUUUAGAACUCCCGACAGAAGACAUAUAUCCAGCAUUGGCAUUAAUUAGUUUACAUAACGAACGCGGUAUUAAUAUCAGUGACGCAGAGUGAAAACGAGUUUUUGACGACGUCAAUCCUUGAACUGCGUGACGCAUGAGUGCAGGUGACGGAGGUUUAAUCCGCUAACAUAUAUCUUUGGGUGUCUGAACGAAUACACGACGCCAUAACUGGUCCAGCGAGUACAAUGCAAGUGAUUGUAUGUACCAGGUAAAUUUUUAUUUUUUCUAUCUUUUCAUUGCUUUUAGUGAAAUAUAUUUAUAA